CUUUGUGUCCAUAGCUGGCUCUGUCCUCACCUUGCUGGCUUUGUCGUUGCAGUCAGUCUGAUUGUCUGAGCUGGGUUCAACCGUCAUCUGUUCUCUCUGGGUCCGCUCCUGAUCGUCCUUAACUGGCUGAGAGGCCAAAGAGAGCUAGUGCACCAAAGAGCACCGGAUCCAUUACCGACUGAUGUGCCCCCUGUACAACAAAUUCUAUCCCACCGGAUGUUGACAUGCCAGCAGACAGAAAGACAGAAUGUACAUGAGUGACGUGACGGGGCUCCGGAGCGAGUAACGUUAUCGACUCCGGACCAGGAGAUCAGAACUACGGUGUCUCCCCUUUGCCUUCUGACCACGGUCGGGAGGCUGAAGCAGGAAAAGUUAUCGACCGUGCCUUCGAUGCAGGGCGGGACCUUCGAUUGGCAAGCUAACAUUUCAGCUAAGCAUGUGAAACUUAUAGUGAUGUUGUGGUUUUAGCUGCUAAUGUUGCUAACGUUAAUCAACAUGAUGCCUUUCAAUCACGUUCAGUCUGGUGUGUGUCGCCUCACUGUUUUUGACCGAUGCUCGUUCUCUGACUACGAGCGCCAGCAACAGGACGAUGACUGUCGUUGACUUAACGGCCACAGGUGUCACUGUUAACAAGCCAUUUCUGAUUCUUACAUCUGGCCCCAUUAAGGAAAUUACUCCCAAUAACUGACACACGUAACCCUGAGGCCAUGUAUAGUCUGCUGUAGGCAUUAUACUGGAUGAAAACACUGAGGAUGGGAGGUGGGGAAGUCAUUACCUCCCAAACUCAAACUUUUUUGAAGCUUCAUGAGCACAGGCUCUCAACAGGGACCUGCAUCAUCAUCACAUUCGGAUCCUUAUCCCAAUCUCAGCAUCACAUAAUUACCUCAUGUCUCUUAAGGACCUACGCUAGCAUCACACAUGACUCCCUGACGCCACAUAAAAAUCCAAACCAUCAACCCCAAACACAGUAUUUACGUCUGACGCUAUCAUAGCGAUUAAAAGGAGGGUUCCAUUAAUAGCUUGCAGUUACAGUCAGAUCCAUACAUGCAAGUCCAGAGCACACACGGCAGGGUUACUACGUCAGAAGUGUCAGAAUCGGCUCCAUAAAGGAUCCAGCUGGCUGCCUCUUUCAUGGCAUCCCUUCAAAGCAUCCCUGUGAACUGAACUAAUCCUCUGUCAUCCACACAAACACCCAUGGAAACGCACAAACACACACACUAUGUGUUUGAAAUAGUAUAAGUAAUAGACUGAAGUGGGUAGGGGGCUGCUGGUCUCUAACAGGUGGGGGGUUGAUGCUUUGUCAGCGUUCUUUGUUGCUGUUCUUUAAAUGACAAAAAAAAGCUCUCUCUAGAUGAUGCUGUGUCAUCAGGUCUGAUUGUUUCCGUCCUCUCAUCCUAUCGCUCCAUCUCCUGAGACUACAGAUCGUCUCAUAUAAAUGCAAUCAAAUCUGCACCAAGGGGCCAUCUUCUCAUAAUCACCUCGCCCAAUGCAAAAAUUAAACAACACUCUGGAGUUUAUAUGUAAUGAUGAAUCUUUCUGUAAAUAUUGUCACUGGUAGAUGUUACCUCAGCCAGAUAUAACUGAAUCAGAGCCAGCUUCAUUUGACACUGAGGUCAUGUCCUCAGUAUCUUUUCUGGGAUUUAUGGUCAUUUUCAGCAACCUGAGGGGAGUUUACAUUAUAGCAGAGUGGAGGGUGUUGUAUGAUGACCCUGAUGAAAGCCACAAGUCAGUCACGGAAGUUUACAAAGACCAAAUUGCAUGGCAACCCAUCCAACAUUUGUUGAAAGGGAAAGUCAGGGGAUUACCAAAGUCAUCAGGAUUCUCUUUUCUGGGGUACAGGAAUCUUUUUGCCAAUCUGAGAAAUUUUAUUAGAUAAAAGGUCAUUAGGAUCUAUCCUAUGGGGAACAUGGGUGACUGUCUGUACAAAAUGUUAUGGCUAUCCAUCCAGUGGCCGUCAAGACAUUUCACUCAAAAACAAAAAUGCCCGAAAUCACGUAGUGGCGCUAGAGGACAAGUCAGGGGAUCAGUAAAGUCAUCAGGAUUCAUCCUCUGGGGGCCGUGAAAAUUUCAAAAUGUCCUGUAACUAUUUCCUCACCAGAAUAGGAUUCCUGGUUUUGUAGGGAAGGCUCUUAAAUAAAAUUUAAAGGUCCCAUAUCAUGCUCAUUUUCAGGUUCAUACUUGUAUUUUGUGUUUUACUAGAACAUGUUUACAUGCUGUAAUGUUAAAAAAAAACUU